rnacentral:piRNA from 1 species
UGAGUGGAUUGCCUAGAAUGAGCAGUAGGU